GACGAACGCUGGCGGCGUGCUUAACACAUGCAAGUCGAACGGAAAGGCCUGCUUUCCCUUGUGGAUUGCGGGUACUCGAGUGGCGAACGGGUGAGUAACACGUGAGUGAUCUGCCCCCAACUUGGGUAUAAGCCUGGGAAACUGGGUCUAAUUCCCGAUAGGACUGCAGGGUGGUGCCUGUGGUGGAAAACGAUUUUCUAGUGGUUGGGGAUGAGCUCGCGGCCUAUCAGCUUGUUGGUGGGGUAAUGGCCUACCAAGGCGGCGACGGGUAGCCGGCCUGAGAGGGUGGACGGCCACAUUGGGACUGAGAUACGGCCCAGACUCCGACGGGAGGCAGCAGUGGGGAAUAUUGCACAAUGGGCGGAAGCCUGAUGCAGCGACGCCGCGUGGGGGAUGACGGCCUUCGGGUGGUAAACUCCUUUCGACCGCGAGGAAGCCACCUGGUUGGAAGGGUGGUGACGGUAGUGGUAGAAGAAGCACCGGCUAACUACGUG
rnacentral:rRNA from 1 species